rnacentral:rRNA from 1 species
AGAGUUUGAUCAUGGCUCAGGAUGAACGCUAGCUACAGGCUUAACACAUGCAAGUCGAGGGGAAACGACAUCGAAAGCUUGCUUUUGAUGGGCGUCGACCGGCGCACGGGUGAGUAACGCGUAUCCAACCUGCCCACCACUUGGGGAUAACCUUGCGAAAGUAAGACUAAUACCCAAUGACGUCUCUAGAAGACAUCUGAAAGAGAUUAAAGAUUUAUCGGUGAUGGAUGGGGAUGCGUCUGAUUAGCUUGUUGGCGGGGUAACGGCCCACAAGGCGACGAUCAGGUAGGGGUUCUGGAGGAGGAACGGUCCCCCANAUUGGAACUGAGACACGGUCCAAACUCCGUACGGGAGGCA